UUUUUUUUUUUUUUUUUUCUCUCUCCCCCAAUCCCCUAAUAAUUAAUUUUGUCAACACACAACGAAGCCGCUACAUGUAAGACUUGAGAAAACAAAUUGCAUGUAUGGUAAACAUGAUGUGUUU
rnacentral:ribozyme from 13 species